rnacentral:sRNA from 20 species
AGCUGUUCCCCUCUGGAGGUUUAAAUUACCUUCACAACUAUAAGGGCCCAAGUUCUUCUUGUGGCCCUCUUUUUUUCCUUGU